CCUACGGGGGGCAGCAGUGGGGAAUAUUGGACAAUGGGGGGAACCCUGAUCCAGCCAUGCCGCGUGUGUGAAGAAGGCCCUCGGGUUGUAAAGCACUUUCAGUGAGGAAGAACGCCUGGUGGUUAAUACCCAUCAGGAAAGACAUCACUCACAGAAGAAGCACCGGCUAACUCCGUGCCAGCAGCCGCGGUAAUACGGAGGGUGCGAGCGUUAAUCGGAAUUACUGGGCGUAAAGCGCGCGUAGGUGGCUUGAUAAGCCGGUUGUGAAAGCCCCGGGCUCAACCUGGGAACGGCAUCCGGAACUGUCAAGCUAGAGUGCAGGAGAGGAAGGUAGAAUUCCCGGUGUAGCGGUGAACUGCGUAGAGAUCGGGAGGAAUACCAGUGGCGAAGGCGGCCUUCUGGCCUGACACUGACACUGAGGUGCGAAAGCGUGGGUAGCAAACAGGAUUAGAUACUCUAGUAGUC
rnacentral:rRNA from 1 species